rnacentral:SRP_RNA from 1 species
CGUUUGUCACCCCGCAAUGGUUAGCAAUGAACCCGGUCAGGCCCGGAAGGGAGCAGCCGUAGUUGUAACACCAUGUGCGGGGACCGGCUGGCGGGA